CACGUAGGGUGCAAGCGUUGUCCGGAAUUAUUGGGCGUAAAGAGCUCGUAGGCGGUUUGUCGCGUCUGCUGUGAAAACCCGAGGCUCAACCUCGGGCCUGCAGUGGGUACGGGCAGACUAGAGUGCGGUAGGGGAGAUUGGAAUUCCUGGUGUAGCGGUGGAAUGCGCAGAUAUCAGGAGGAACACCGAUGGCGAAGGUAGAUCUCUGGGCCGUAACUGACGCUGAGGAGCGAAAGCAUGGGGAGCGAACAGG
rnacentral:rRNA from 1 species